rnacentral:rRNA from 1 species
UUUUUGGAGAGUUUGAUCCUGGCUCAGGACGAACGCUGGCGGCGUGCCUAAUACAUGCAAGUCGAGCGCACAGAAGGGAGCUUGCUCCCGGAAGUGAGCGGCGGAUGGGUGAGUAACACGUGGGCAA